CAGUCGCCACGGUAAUACGAAGGGGGCUAGCGUUGUUCGGAUUUACUGGGCGUAAAGCGCACGUAGGCGGACUUUUAAGUCAGGGGUGAAAUCCCGGGGCUCAACCCCGGAACUGCCUUUGAUACUGGAAGUCUUGAGUAUGGUAGAGGUGAGUGGAAUUCCGAGUGUAAAGGUGAAAUUCGUAGAUAUUCGGAGGAACACCAGUGGCGAAGGCGGCUCACUGGACCAUUACUGACGCUGAGGUGCGAAAGCGUGGGGAGCAAACAGGAUUAGAUACCCCCGUAGUCCCUGUCUCUUAUAC
rnacentral:rRNA from 1 species